CCAAGAUGGAGCUGGCAGGCGGGGUAAGCUCCAGCCUGUGCUGCCACUGCACAGACGCGGCAGACCCCUCCAGCAGCCGCGUACUCACCCACUCCCGCAGCCCUCCCCCUGCCGACCCCUGACCAGCUGACAACCUGUCACUCCUUCAUCUUCCCAGAGUUUCCUACCUUGAAUAAGUCGUAGAGUUCUUCCAGGUCUUCAGGAAGAAUGGAGACUUCUGGGAUAACAACUCGGAGCUUGAGGAAACAACCAACAACAGUGGGGUAACUUACUCCACCCUUUCGGCAGAACGGUACAGAGAUUACACCUGUCGGUUCUGCACAUUCAAGAGCCAAACAGCGUUUGUACUGGGGAUUUCUGGACAAGGACUGAUGUGUCAACACCUCUUUGCCCCGGUUCUGGCCCUGCUCCCCAAGCACAGAAGAGGAAGAGGAGGAGGAAGGAGACAGGUUACCAAUGACCCGAUGGUUGAAGUAGUCGGGCAGCAUCCGCUCACACACGGCAACGAGCAACCAGAAGGCCUCCUCCUCCUUGGCAUAGAGCAGCAAAACGGAGGUCAGGAUGUUCAUGGACUGCACAGGUUCACAGAGGAGGGGGUGGUUAGCAUCACACCACGUUGUGCCACAGAAGACAUGAAAAACCACACAAGCCCAAAGGGUCCACAGAAGUCAAGGCUGCCGAUGAGACACCCCAUCUAGCCGAACCACACUGACACUUGUAAAGUGGAAUGACUGAGUUUAUUAACACGGUCCCCACAAGACACCCUAGGCUGAAUGACCAGCCACCCUUCUGUCACUGUCCCCAUCUAGGAAUGCUGGGGCCAGCUGUGGUGCGGGCUUCAGGCUCAAGUCAAAUCCAGCUAUUCUGUGUGUAUGUUCACACACACACACACACACACACACAAACACACACAACAUUCAUGGGUUGAUUUUGCUUUUCAUGGGAAAGCAAAGUUUAAACUCUUCUAUUUUCAGCUAUCAGAAACUUCUCUAACCCCAUCUAGUGCUGGGGUGGGGGCAGGGGUGUUUUAUUUUACCAGGUUCUAUUUUGUGCUUGUUUACCACAUCCCUGAAUACACUUUCCAAGUAAACUCAACAACUACUUAGAGGGCGGCUUAUUUCCACUUGUGCUUCCUGAAGGAAAGGGAUCAGCCACAAACAUUUUUUGCUCCCCCAAUAGCAUGGAGAUUUUAAAAAUAAUCCCUGUAACUUCUGCAGAGGUCUAGAAAGAUAAAGCUCCAGAGAAGCGUUAUCACUGCCGUCCUACAGUGGAGGCCUGGAGAGGCGGUGAAGACAAACUGUCCUGUCCUGGACAGCAACUCAUCAUGUGCACUGCUCUUUUCAGGCACCAGGUAAAGUUUCUAAUCUUAAGUCAUCAACCUGUUUGACUAUAAGGAGAUGAUGCCUGAGGCCUUACUUGAUACAUUCUUUAAGGAAAGCAAAAGCACAGAGCCUACACAGGACCGUCCUGGGUACCAGACAGCCAAGAACAACAGAACCCGAAGCCUGGGUAAUCAACACAAGACACGGACUCAAAGAUUUCUGCUCCUCCACUGCACACCCUACCUGGCAGUACCCAAUUUUGGGGUUCCGGUGGGCAUAGGCUGUCAAGACUCUCCUCAAAGCAGCAAUUCCGGUUUCAUUCUGGAAGGCGGGAUGCUCUGGUAAGGAACGGUGCAGGUCCCGCUCUAUCUCCUCAGUCACCAGGCAACAUUUUCCCAUGGACUCCUCCACCAGAUUACCAUAGUAACCCGGAUGCGAGGCGAGAUCGGUUACAGCAUCUGAUGAUUUAAAAGGAUUUUUUCAAGGGGGCAGGUUACCAGGACAGAGUCAAGGUGGGGAGGGGGCUUGUCCUGCUGGAAGACCUCAAUAGGGUCUCAUUACUUGAAGGACAGAAAAUAUCUUGAGACCACACACAAACCAAAAGGACUUUCAUUCUGCCAAAAACGAGAAAAAAAAAGAAAAAAAAUGAAACAAUAUGGCUUUUCUAAGAAUAACCUUAUAGGGAGGGAAACAGCUCAUACCAGAAACAGCUGUAUUAAUACGCUUUUCCCAAGUUGUAUUCUCUAGUAAUAGGAAGAUUGGGUAGAUGUGUGUAUCUAUACAUACAGACAUACACACAAUUUUCAUACAUUAACUCAACAUGAAAUUACUGAGCACGUAUGUGUGAAACACACAAGAAGGUGCACUUCUGUUUAGUAAUCAAUUUUCAAGGAACCAACAAGCUGCAACAAGAAAUUCAGGGGCUUUGCAACAACGUGGAUGUUAACUAGAGGGUAUUAUGCUAAGCAAAAUAAGUCAAUCAGAAACAAUUACCAUAUGAUCUCUCUGAUAUGAGGAAUUUGAGAGGCAGGGUGGGGGGUUGUGGAGGGGGAAGGAAGGGAAAAAAUGAAACAAGAUGGGACUGGGGAGGGAGACAACCAUAAAAGACUCUUAAUCUCAGGAAACAAACUGAGGGUUGCUGGGGGGUGGGGUGGGAAGGAUAGGGUGGCUAGGUGACAGACAUUAGGGAGAGUAUGUGCUAUGGUGAGUGUUGGGAAUUGUGUAAACCUGAUGAUUCACAGACCUGUACCCCUGAAACAAAUAAUACAUUAUAUGUUAAUUAAAAAAAAAAUUCAGAGGCUGAGCUCAUGACAGGCAGGGCGACCCCGCCCAGUCCACCUACCACCAAGAUCCUCCCAGGCCUCUGACAGGGAGAGGACUUCAGGGGUGAGGCGUCCACAGUGCAUGAGGCUCCCAUUCCCUCAUCAGCCAGCACCCAAGCACCUGUGGUCCUGGCCAGUGGUCCUGCAGGGGCACGGGUAGCAGGUGGGGUUCCAGGACAGAGGCUGGCCCCAUGCAGGGAGGUCCCAGGAGAACAGGACAAGCAGAAGGGGCCCACUUCCACCAUUAAUCGCCAGUUUAGGUUUUUAAAUUCUGAUGGGGUUUAGUAUACUGCCCUCCCCGACUCAACCUUCUGCGACCGUGAUUCCCCAUCACACCCCACAAACACUCACUACAACAUUUCCCUGUACUCAACACUUAACACUAACAGCUGCCACUCAACCCAUGACAGCCUAAACGCCACAGCAGUCUUUCCAUCAACACUACCACUUGGAAGGAAAGACAGCUCUUGAGGAGCUAGGUUUGUUUUUUUUAUUGCAAUGUGUGUGUAUGUUCAUUAAAGAGGCAGGCUCUAUGCCCGUGGCAUCAACAGGUAUCACCUGUAGGUGGUUAA